rnacentral:rRNA from 1 species
UACGGAGGGCGCAAGCGUUGUUCGGAAUUACUGGGCGUAAAGGGCUCGUAGGUGGCCCCAUAAGUCAGACGUGAAAUCCCUCGGCUCAACCGAGGAACUGCGUCUGAGACUGCGGGGCUUGAAUCCGGGAGAGGGAUGCGGAAUUCCAGGUGUAGCGGUGAAAUGCGUAGAUAUCUGGAGGAACACCGGUGGCGAAGGCGGCAUCCUGGACCGGUAUUGACACUGAGGAGCGAAAGCCAGGGGAGCAAACGGG